GCCUUUAUAGCUCAGUCGGCAGAGCAUUCGCUUAGUAAGCGAAAGGUCUACGGUUCAAACCCGUAUAAAGGCU
rfam:Stentor coeruleus isolate WM001 SteCoe_contig_70, whole genome shotgun sequence.